rnacentral:rRNA from 1 species
CGCACGGGUGAGUAACACGUGACUAACCUACCUCCGAGUGGGGAAUAACCUAGAGAAAUCUGGGCUAAUACCGCAUAACACUUACGAGUCAAAGCAGCAAUGCGCUUGGGGAGGAGGUCGCGGCAGAUUAGCUAGUUGGUGGGGUAAUGGCCCACCAAGGCGAUGAUCUGUAUCCGGCCUGAGAGGGCGCACGGACACACUGGAACUGAAACACGGUCCAG